rnacentral:rRNA from 1 species
GACGAACCGUGCGAACGUUGUUCGGAAUCACUGGGCUUAAAGGGCGCGUAGGCGGCUCACCGAGUCCGGGGUGAAAGCCCCCAGCUUAACUGGGGAAGUGCCUCGGAUACUGGUGAGCUCGAGGGAGGUAGGGGCGGAUGGAACUUCCGGUGGAGCGGUGAAAUGCGUUGAUAUCGGAAGGAACGCCGGUGGCGAAAGCGGCUUACUGGGUCUCUUCUGACGCUGAGGUACGAAAGCUAGGGGAGCGAACGGG